rnacentral:rRNA from 1 species
UACGGGGGGAGCAAGCGUUGUUCGGAUUUACUGGGCGUAAAGGGCGCGUAGGCGGCCACCGCAAGUCGGUUGUGAAAUCUCCGGGCUUAACCCGGAACGGUCAAUCGAUACUGCGGGGCUAGAGUGCAGAAGGGGCAACUGGAAUUCUCGGUGUAGCGGUGAAAUGCGUAGAUAUCGAGAGGAACACCUGCGGCGAAGGCGGGUUGCUGGGCUGACACUGACGCUGAGGCGCGAGAGCUAGGGGAGCGAACGGG